GGUCUGUAGCUCAGUGGUAGAGCAUCUGCUUUCCAUUCAGAAGGUCCCAGGUUCAAUUCCUGGCAUCUCCA